AGAAUCAACGCUGGCGGCGUGCCUAACACAUGCAAGUCGAACGAGAAAGUGGAGCAAUCCAUGAGUAAAGUGGCGCACGGGUGAGUAACACGUGACUAACCUACCUUUUAGUGGGGGAUAACCUAGGGAAACCUGGGCUAAUACCGCAUAAUACCUACGGGUCAAAGCAGCAAUGCGCUGAAAGAGGGGGUCGCGGUCGAUUAGUUAGUUGGCAGGGUAAUGGCCUACCAAGACUGUGAUCGAUAUCCGGCCUGAGAGGGCGCACGGACACACUGGAACUGAAACACGGUCCAGACUCCUACGGGAGGCAGCAGUGGGGAAUUUUGCGCAAUGGGGGAAACCCUGACGCAGCAACGCCGCGUGGAGGAUGAAGUCCCUUGGGACCGUAAACUCCUUUCGAUCGGGACGAUAAUGACGGUACCGGAAGAAGAAGCCCGGCUAACUUCGCGCCAGCAGCCGC
rnacentral:rRNA from 1 species